CACAACAUCCAAUGACAAGAACAACAAAAUACAUAUCUUACAUGUGGUAAGGCAGUUGGAGAGAACAUGCACAAUUUUUUAGGCAUGUGCAUAGGAACAUUUUUCGGUUCGUAGCAUACUAAACAAGCCUGACCAGCGUGAAUGCCAUUCAGCCAAUACUCUUUCAGGUAUGUGCAGUCCACGAUAUGACAAUGUGUGGGUAAUGUGAGAGGACCCUUGCGAGGAACCUCCUUGGCCCCAGGCCAAUUGCAGAGCCAGCACCACAGUGCCACGAACUCGGUAGCUCCCUGAGUGCAAGUUCUCGCCAUCCGAAAAAAUGUGGAAGAUCCUGUAAGCUUUGCACUGUGAUCACUGAUUAGAUUUCAGGCUCUUUCACCGGUGUGGCUGGUGCCUUGAGGUUGAACCCCGAGUGGCUCUAGGCCUAGGUAGGCAUAACGCAGAGUUAAUAGGAAAUAAGUGUACCUCUUUAUUUCAUUUUUCAAUAUUCUUUUGUUUCAGGUAUUGUACCGGAGGAAUGGAGGAAGGCAGAUGUUGUUCCUAUAUUUAAAAAGGGUUCAAAAUCCUUGCCUGGAAAUUAUAGACCUGUGAGCUUAACUUCUGUGACUGGGAAAUUAUUUGAACGGCUAUUAAGGGAUAAUAUUCAGGAAUUCAGCAUGGUUUUAUGAAACAUAGGUCAUGGCAAACUAACCUAAAUGCAUUCUACGAAGAAGUAAGUAGAAGUAUAGAUCAGGGUGUUGCAGUGGAU